CCUACGGGAGGCAGCAGUGGGGAAUAUUCGACAAUGGGGGCAACCCUGAUCCAGCCAUGCCGCGUGUGUGAAGAAGGCCCUCGGGUUGUAAAGCACUUUCAGUGAGGAAGAACGCCUGGUGGUUAAUACCCAUCAGGAAAGACAUCACUCACAGAAGAAGCACCGGCUAACUCCGUGCCAGCAGCCGCGGUAAUACGGAGGGUGCGAGCGUUAAUCGGAAUUACUGGGCGUAAAGCGCGCGUAGGUGGCUUGAUAAGCCGGUUGUGAAAGCCCAGGGCUCAACCUGGGAACGGCAUCCGGAACUGUCAAGCUAGAGUGCAGGAGAGGAAGGUAGAAUUCCCGGUGUAGCGGUGAAAUGCGUAGAGAUCGGGAGGAAUACCAGUGGCGAAGGCGGCCUUCUGGACUGACACUGACACUGAGGUGCGAAAGCGUGGGUAGCAAACAGGAUUAGAUACCCCAGUAGUC
rnacentral:rRNA from 1 species